CCUACGGGUGGCUGCAGUGGGGAAUAUUGCACAAUGGGCGCAAGCCUGAUGCAGCCAUGCCGCGUGUGUGAAGAAGGCCUUCGGGUUGUAAAGCACUUUCAGCGGGGAGGAAGGCGGUGAGGUUAAUAACCUCAUCGAUUGACGUUACCCGCAGAAGAAGCACCGGCUAACUCCGUGCCAGCAGCCGCGGUAAUACGGAGGGUGCAAGCGUUAAUCGGAAUUACUGGGCGUAAAGCGCACGCAGGCGGUCUGUCAAGUCGGAUGUGAAAUCCCCGGGCUCAACCUGGGAACUGCAUUCGAAACUGGCAGGCUAGAGUCUUGUAGAGGGGGGUAGAAGUCCAGGUGUAGCGGUGAAAUGCGUAGAGAUCUGGAGGAAUACCGGUGGCGAAGGCGGCCCCCUGGACAAAGACUGACGCUCAGGUGCGAAAGCGUGGGGAGCAAACAGGAUUAGAUACCCCUGUAGUC
rnacentral:rRNA from 1 species